rnacentral:rRNA from 1 species
AUACGGGGGGUGCAAGCGUUGUCCGGAAUCACUGGGCGUAAAGGGUGCGUAGGCGGCUUGAUAAGUCGGAUGUGAAAGCCCCGGGCUUAACCUGGGAAUUGCAUUCGAUACUGUCAGGCUAGAGUAUGUCAGAGGUUGGCGGAAUUCCUGGUGUAGCGGUGAAAUGCGUAGAUAUCAGGAGGAACACCAGUGGCGAAGGCGGCUAACUGGGGCAAUACUGACGCUGAGGCACGAAAGCGUGGGGAGCAAACAGGAUUAGAAACCCUAGUAGUCC